rnacentral:rRNA from 1 species
GAUCAUGGCUCAGGAUGAACGCUAGCUACAGGCUUAACACAUGCAAGUCGAGGGCAGCACAGUGUAGCAAUACAUGGGCGGCGACCGGCGCACGGGUGCGUAACGCGUAUCCCAACCUUCCCGUUACUCUUGGAUAGCCUUCCGAAAGGGAGAUUAAUACAAGAUGGUAUUCAAAUUCCGCAUGUUAUUUGAACUAAAGAUUUAUCGGUAACGGAUGGGGAUGCGUGACAUUAGGUAGAUGGCGGGGUAACGGCCCACCAUGCCCACGAUGUCUAGGGGUUCUGAGAGGAAGGUCCCCCACACUGGAACUGAGACACGGUCCAGACUCCUACGGGAGGCAGCAGUGAGGAAUAUUGGUCAAUGGCCGGAAGGCUGAACCAGCCAAGUAGCGUGAAGGAUGAAGGUUCUAUGGAUUGUAAACUUCUUUUAUACGGGAAUAAAACCUCCCACGUGUGGGAGCUUGUAUGUACCGUAUGAAUAAGCAUCGGCUAACUCCGUG